CCUCCCUCGCACGAAAAAAAACCCUCCUCUCGAUUCACCCCUGGCGCUGCCCUUAUCUCUCGCUCCGCCGCCGCCGCCGCCCCUGCUUCCCUCCCGCUCAGCCACCUCCAUCGUUCCCACCCUUUUCCUCAUUGUCGGAUCCGCUUUCUCGUCAAGGUUAGGCGGCGAAAAGGUCUUGAUAUAUGCCUUGGCCACAGGUCUGCAGGUGCCCACAGAAUACAAUCCAUCGCCACCCAUGACUCCCUCACCCUGCUAGGGUUCCUAGCCCCGUCCUCCGCCGCCGCUGCGUGUUCCCGUCCGACCUCGCCCGAGCGAUUUCUUGACCUCGCCGGGAGCAGGCAGCUGGAUCCCGCCGCCGUGCCUCCCUCUCUCCCUUCUCUUCUUUUCCCCUACCUCUCUCUCUCCUCUGAACUGAGCGUCGUUCCUCUCUGCAGGUGCCGCCAUGGCCGCGUCUUGGAGCUCGCCGCCGUGGGCUGCGUGCCCCUCCGAUGACGGCCUUCCUCGCCCACGUCCAGGUCCCCUGGCCGGCCAUCUUCCAUUUUCUCUAUUCCCGCCCCAUGCCCCUCCCCAAAGAUCCCUCCCUCUCAUGGGCGUCACCACCAUCACUGCACCCAGCCUCCCUCAUCGUGGUGCAGUCAGUUCCGUUCCGUGGCCUCUAUCGUGUCUUCGAAGAAGGUCGUGAUACGCCACAAGUGGGAGCGGAAGCUGCGAUGUCAAGAUCUACAAGCAGGACAUGAACCACCUUGCCAUGUAUUUCCUCGUCACAUUAGGAUUCGUCGACGCCGCCAACAGGUUCUGUAUCAAUUCCGGCACCCAACGUACUGUAUGCCCACACAUUUAAAUCAUGCCGGUCUUACUCCUGCAAUACAAUAGUACUUGAGAUUUAGGCAGCGGUGGGCAUGCGCUGCAGGUCAUUCACCUGGUUGGCCUCUUUGAUGUAUCUGGUGUUGUUGUGUCCAUGUGGAAGGAGAGCCCGCUUCUCCGGGACGCUGGCGCUGACAUGCUCACCGUAGGCACCGUCAUGGCGGUGCUCGACUUAAGGGAGGAGGUCGGCAACCACCACUUCUUGAACCAAAGUUUGCAGAAGCUAUGGAAGAAAUGGUAACUUGCUUACUUGGGAAAACUGCAUUGGAUAGCGAUGAUGGUGACAGUGAUGAAUCUAAAUAGUGUGACGGUCUGAGUACUCGUGGGCGUGACGAGGUGAUUGCGGAUCCACCAGAACAUGCGAGUGGCAAUGCUUCAGGACAAGCAGCCAGCGACGGCAUAGCUUCACAGAAUGGAGUACGACGUAGGUGUCCAAGGGUUGUAUCAGGUCGCAUACGAAGAUCCUGAAGUUGCAAGUAGAUACAGUCAAUAACAUAGUUAAAGGUGAUAUGGGAGAUAAUUAAGUUCCCUAGGCAAGCUGGAUUGAAGCUUGAUGAGCCGAACCCAAGGGGCGUGCUUAGUUUCUACCACAAAAUUCUAUCAUUCACAUCAACCGAUGUUGCAAAGCAAGUAAAAAUGUACUAGAGUCAGAUAUUUGUUGGCAACGGCUUAUUGGGCUUUUUCAAAUCAAUAUUACUUCCACUAGCAGGAAAUGGUUCAAGCAUACUUAUCCAAAUCUUAUAAUCCUGAUGGGAGAAAACAUUGUGAAGGAGUUCAGGCUGAAUGGCCAGUUAACAAGAAUCGGGUGGAUCUGCGUGUGGUGGAUGAUCGUUUACAAGGAAGGUUGAAUGUAUGGUUCCUGGAGAUGAUCAGAUGGUGCCACGUAUUUGACCUGCGAUUUGUGCCUCCAAUAGUUCCAAUGAAUGCUCCAUGUGCUCCCCCUACGAUAUAAACCAUGGUCCAGAGAGAAUGUAAGGAAGUAGGAAUCAGCAGGCGUCUCUGAGUUGUUUCAGUUACCAUAUUUGCUUGCAAGGUGUGAGGGUGAAGCCAACUCUAAAAGUGGGGUCUGUUCAAGUAGAAGGAACAUGCCAAGAUGAAAGAAGACGGAGCAAAAAAACCUAUAGAGGCAUGAACGCAACACUAUCUAAAACAUCUCACACUUCUGUCUAGGAAUAUAAUGGAAUCUUGGAAGAAAGAAAGAGGAAGAGUUCGCACCCACCUUCUCUCAAAGCCGCCGCUUUGAGUUCGUGUCGGCCCUACUGCAGUCGGCAGUUGUCAAGGUCGACCUGCGUGCCGCAGGGGAGCAUCACCGCCCUACACGCCGAGGGGCGCCAUGCGCUGGCUCCCACGUGCGGUUUGACCAACAAGUCGAGAUUGCGCGUGCGGAGGUAGAGGGCAAGGAAGGGGAAUCCGGCGUGCCCGCCCUGCACAACAUCAGGCCACAUGGAAGCUCCCGAGCACGAAAACGAACGCUCACUACUCUCUCCUUCUUGAAUUGCCGGCAUCGCUUUAGAUGGGUGAAGAGAGGUGAGCAUUUCUGGUGAAGCUGGAGGAGGAUGGAAGAAUAAUAGUCAUUUUGGAGCUAGCUACGACCUCCUCUGGAUGUUUCAUAGGGUUCCGCACAAUGUGUUCUCCUGUAAUUUGGUCACCAAGGCUGCUGAAAUGAUUUGGCAUCUGAACUUUGUCAAGUCCUUAUUGGAAGACGCAGAUUGCAGAUCAUUCUAUCCCUGUAAGACCAAGAUUUUGAUGCUCCUGUUACCUGGCAUCGAGGUUGAGUAACAUGUUUUUGGUCAUGAUUCCUGUUGUGCUUCUUGAAGAAGGUAUCCCCCUUAUACGAAGAUUUCUAGCUUGCCUAUGUGUUGUAAUGUUAAUAAGUGCAUUCGGCCAAACAAUUUGCGGACCAAAUGAACUUGCUGCGGAUAUAGAAGAAUAAGGCGGCACACAAGGAGUUGCCUGAAUUGCAGUGGCAGCGGUGUUGUAAUAUGCUUACAGUAUUUCAGGCCUCUAUUCCAACACACACAUUCCAGUUGCCAUUGGUGAGCAAAUGAGAUAUGAAGUUACCAGCGAUUUUCAUUAUACGUGGUAAAAAUAAUGCAAAUCAUGCUUUAUGGAGAGUUGAAACACUGACUAUUGAUCGGAGAAAAUUUAGUGGUGACAACUACCCAAGAACAUUGAGAAUGGCGCCAGAAAUUCCUUUUGCUGAUAUCACAAAUUUUGUGCCAUGGUCCAUAAAGAGAACAAGUGCUGGUGUGUGUUCCGAUCCAGUAAAUUUUCUUCAUGUGCCACACAAGUGGAGACGACUCUGCUUUUUUACCAUGAUCUUGAGAGUUAUGAACUUUAUGACAAUAAUGACUCUCAAGUUCAACAAGAGCUCGUACAAAAGAUAUGGAAAGUGUUUAAGACUAUACUAGAAGAGACUGGCAAAUUAAGGGAAGAGACCAAGGAAGGCAUUUCUAUAGCUAAGUCCAUUGUAAUCAUUUUGGAUUGAAAUUCAAGUUUGGCAAAAGGUCUUGAUAUAUGCCUUGGUCACAGGUCUAAAUGUUAUAAGCAUGGCUCCCCACAUCCAAUUUUUCAGGCCAUGGAGCUUCUAUGGUUGGUUCAUAUGUGGUUAUCGAAGCAGGAUAAGUUCUUGAGGAGGACUCUAAUUGCUAUGGGCCACAAGAUUUCAUAUGUCACUCCCUAUUGCGUAUUGCUGUUGACAUUGGACUUGCUAUCCAGUAAGAGGGACAUUGGGAUCAUUGUUCAUCUAGAGAAGUCAGUGCUAUAUCUACGUCAGAAUAUUGGGAUGUUAAUGAUUGGAGGGAGCGACAACAACCGCCGGUCUCUUCUUCGCCUUCUUAGCCGGCAUCUCCCCCAUCCGGAUGCCCUGCGGCACGAGCCACUCCACCAUCGCCUGGGACUCGACCUCCGGGAAGUUUAGGUCCGUCUUCGGCUGUCCGGCACGCCACACCGCCACGUCGUAAGCAUGCGCGGCCUCAUCGGCGGUGGGAUACAUGCCGAGCCACGAACGCUGCCAGGCGUCGGAGAACUCCAGUUCGAAGUUCCCGGAAGCUUCGCCCUCAUGCCGAAGAAACCGGACUUGCCCUUCGGCGUCUUCUUCGGCGCCAUUGGGGAGCGGGCGGUGGCCGAGCGGGGAGCGGGGCGGCGACGUGCGGGGCGGAGGCGGACGGAGCGGGGCGGCGGCGUGCGGCGCGGGGCGGAGGCGGAAGGAGCGGGCGGCGGACGGAGCAGCGCCAGAGAGGAGGCAGACGGAGCGGGGCCAGGCAGAGGAUGGACCGGAGGCGGAGGCGGCCGGAGAGGAGGCGGGCAGGGUCGGGGCUGGCGGAGGCAAACACGAUGGGGCAGCGCGGCGGCAGGCGGUGGCCAAGGCGGGGUGGAAUCAAUGGCAGGGGUCUGGAUCUACGGUGGGCAAGGCCUUAGAAAGUUAACAUGUAACUUUUGCAAACUAUUUCAAGAGCCCGUGGCAACGCAUGGGCAUUCUAUUAGUAUAUAUAGAUUUCGCGAUAAAACACACGCCACACGCGAGAACAGUGUUAGGAAUCACGAAAUCACUAAUUAAUCAAGAGUACUUCUUCGAAGAUCA